UACGUAGGUGGCAAGCGUUGUCCGGAAUUAUUGGGCGUAAAGCGCGCGCAGGCGGCCUCUUAAGUCUGAUGUGAAAGCCCCCGGCUCAACCGGGGAGGGCCAUUGGAAACUGGGAGGCUUGAGUAUAGGAGAGAAGAGUGGAAUUCCACGUGUAGCGGUGAAAUGCGUAGAGAUGUGGAGGAACACCAGUGGCGAAGGCGACUCUUUGGCCUAUAACUGACGCUGAGGCGCGAAGCGUGGGGAGCAAACAGG
rnacentral:rRNA from 1 species